rnacentral:misc_RNA from 1 species
GAUGAAGAACGUAGCGAAAUGUGAUAAGUAGUGUGAAUUGCAGAAUUCAGUGAAUCAUCGAAUCUUUGAACGCACAUUGCGCCCCUUGGUAUUACAUGGGGCAUGCCUGUUAGAGCGUCAUUUGUACCUUCAAGCUUUGCUUGGUGUUGGGUGUUUGUCUCGCCUUUGCGUGUAGACUCGCCUUAAAAUAAUUGGCAGCCGGCGUAUUGAUUUCGGAGCGCAGUACAUCUCGCGCUUUGCACUCAUAACGACAGCGUCCAAAAGUACAUUUUACACUCUUGACCUCGGAUCAGGUAGGGAUACCCGCUGAACUUAAGCAUAUCAAUAAGCGGAGGA